AAACCAUAAUCUUCCUCCUCCUCGCACAUGUAGUCAUCGUCGUUUUCAGACAUUCUACUUUGUAUUAUUUAAUAAACCACUAUGAAAAUAUGUUAUUUUC